GACGUAGGGCGCGAGCGUUUGUCCGGAUUUAUUGGGCGUAAAGAGCUCGUAGGCGGCUUGUCGCGUCGAAUGUGAAAACUCGGGGCUCAACUCCGAGCUUGCAUUCGAUACGGGCAGGCUAGAGUUCGGUAGGGGAGACUGGAAUUCCUGGUGUAGCGGUGAAAUGCGCAGAUAUCAGGAGGAACACCGGUGGCGAAGGCAGGUCUCUGGGCAUUAACUGACGUGAGGAGCGAAAGCAUGGGGAGCGAACAGG
rnacentral:rRNA from 1 species